rnacentral:snRNA from 1 species
GAGCUUUGAAGAACGUUGGUAGA